rnacentral:rRNA from 1 species
GAUGAACGCUGGCGGCGUGCCUAAUACAUGCAAGUCGAGCGAACAGACGAGGAGCUUGCUCCUCUGACGUUAGCGGCGGACGGGUGAGUAACACGUGGAUAACCUACCUAUAAGACUGGGAUAACUUCGGGAAACCGGAGCUAAUACCGGAUAAUAUAUUGAACCGCAUGGUUCAAUAGUGAAAGACGGUUUUGCUGUCACUUAUAGAUGGAUCCGCGCCGCAUUAGCUAGUUGGUAAGGUAACAGCUUACCAAGGCAACGAUGCGUAGCCGACCUGAGAGGGUGAUCGCCCACACGGGAACUGAGACGCGGUCCAGACUCCUACGGGAGGCAGCAGUAGGGAAUCUGCCGCAAUGGGCGAAAGCCUGACGGAGCAACGCCGCGUGAGUGAUGAAGGUCUUCGGAUCGUAAAACUCUGUUAUUAGGGAAGAACAAAUGUGUAAGUAACUAUGCACGUCUUGACGGUACCGAAUCAGAAAGCCACGGCUAACUACGUG